UGCCCAGCAACUCCAAUCCCUACCUCCUCGUGGUACUAGAGAAGAUCGAGUAACAAAUCCCGGUGGAAACUUUGGUCGUUUUUGAUAGGGAAGG
rnacentral:ribozyme from 1 species